rnacentral:rRNA from 1 species
GUAGGUGGCAAGCGUUAUCCGGAUUUAUUGGGCGUAAAGCGAGCGCAGGCGGUCUUUUAAGUCUAAUGUGAAAGCCUUCGGCUCAACCGAAGAAGUGCAUUGGAAACUGGGAGACCUGAGUGCAGAAGAGGACAGUGGAACUCCAUGUGUAGCGGUGAAAUGCGUAGAUAUAUGGAAGAACACCAGUGGCGAAGGCGGCUGCCUGGUCUGCAACUGACGCUGAGGCUCGAAAGCAUGGGUAGCGAACAGGAUUAGAUACCCUGGUAGUCCAUGCCGUAAACGAUGAUUACUAAGUGUUGGAGGGUUUCCGCCCUUCAGUGCUGCAGCUAACGCAUUAAGUAAUCCGCCUGGGGAGUACGACCGCAAGGUUG